UACGGGGGGGGGCAAGCGUUGUUCGGAAUUACUGGGCGUAAAGGGCUCGUAGGCGGCCAACUAAGUCAGACGUGAAAUCCCUCGGCUUAACCGGGGAACCGCGUCUGAUACUGGAUGGCUUGAGUUUGGGAGAGGGAUGCGGAAUUCCAGGUGUAGCGGUGAAAUGCGUAGAUAUCUGGAGGAACACCGGUGGCGAAGGCGGCAUCCUGGACCAACACUGACGCUGAUGAGCGAAAGCCAGAGGAGCAAACGGG
rnacentral:rRNA from 1 species